GCCCCAAUAGCUCACUGGUAGAGCUCCUGUAUAUGUAUGGUGAGCGAAAGCUCCUAUCAAUAACUGUCAGGAGGUUGCAGGUUCAAUCCUGCUCGGUGGCU